UCUCCUUUUAGCAGCCCUUUUGGCCUCUGGAUCUCUCUAACUGUCCAACAGAGCAAUCAAAGGUUCAGAAUGCCAAUAUAGCAAAACUGCAAAAAGAACAUGCAGAGGCACCGUGAGAGAGGAGGAGAGGCCGCUCCGACGUGCCCAUGGGUUUUCAACACACGUAUUCGUGUGGAAUUGGUCCGACCCAUUAGUUGCACCAAUGCACAGUCAUGGGCCGUAUGGGCUGAUUCUUAACUUGGGCCGGACCGUGACGUAGACAAACACAAACAAACCCAUUCAUUCAGCAGUGAUGUACUCUUUCUAAAAAAAAAAGCAGUGGUGUACUCAGACACACAUUCUCUCGUCAGCCAGACCCUCGAGGAACCGGCGCGCGGCAGAGAAAGGCGCGGGCGCGGCGGCGGCGGAGUGACCGCGUAGAGGUCGAGCUCGGGGGCGAACGGCAACGGAGGCUCGCGGCCGUAGAGCCGCGCGAUGGUGUCCCUGGCCUGCUCGUAGGAGCGGGCAGAUCUGAGGGAGGUGAGGACCAGGGAGCGGAGCGCGCGGAUGGUGUCCCCGUAGGACGCCCAGCGGUGCUCCAUGGCCAUGCCCACCGACAGCUUGGGGCUGUAGCCCGGGAUGGGUGGCUGCGUGCCGCGCGAGGCUGCCGCCGCCGUGCGGAUGACGCCGGGUACGGCUACGGCGUCGCCACCCGCAUGGGGAUCAGCCACGCCGGCGCCGGUGCUGAAGGCCUCCUGCGAGGAUUGACUCAUGGCGGAGACGACGAGACGAGGUAAUGCAGCGUCAGCGUGGGAGACCGGACCGAGGCAGCGAGGCUCCCCACGUCAGGAGUUGCAGCUAGAACCAGAAAUUCCCCCCCAAGCGGCUACAGUAAAUCUACUGUGAAUUUAUAGUAUGUGAGAUUAUUAAGCUACUAAACCUACAUACCGAGCCUUUUUCUUGUUUUUUAUUCUAAUGACCCUUAUAAUCAAUAAAUUAAGCUCCAUCUUUAAAAAAGUUAAGCUAGUAAAAUUAAGGGAUAGUUGGAUGAUUAAAAAGUAGCAGACUAUGAAUUAUGGAGGAUUCAUAUAUGUUCAGAAAUCCUACAUUGUAAUCCUGCAUUAUACUUAUUUUAGGUACCUCACACUAGAACAGAUUGAAUUGCAAUGGAGUACAUUACUGUGGUAAGUUCCCGUCCAUGCAAUUAGACUGUCGAUCAAAGAGAGAGCCGAGUUGCUGUAAUAUUCUUCUUAAAUUGGGCUGUUAAAGUGAAGCCUAUAUCUUAAGCAGAAGAGAGGACAAAAAAUGAAAUAUUUUGCACUAUGAGUGAUUCGUGAAGCAUUAAUUAGUGAACUUACAUUUUCAAGUCUGAUAUUUUCUUAUUGGCUUGACUACUGAAGUGAUCUGCUGAAAACCAUGCAUGCAAAGAAAUGCAACUGGGAUCAAGAAUGCUAGGGAAGACGACUUUUCUGUUGUCAAUUUGCAGCAGCUUUCUACAUUUGCUGUUUCUACUGAUGCAAUCUGAGACUUAGCCAUCUCUUUUAAUACGUGGAUGUCAAAUUUUUACAGUAUCCUGUGCUUUGGUACCAACAUACACAUUUCAUUCUCUGGCCAUUGUAACGCAUGAGAGCACCGGCUUUUCAGCAUGCCAUUUUGGCAUAAAUAUUCAGACAUGAUAAAUUACAUCAUACUUAUUUAUAUGAUUCUUUAUAAGCAGCAUUUUGCUGAUCUGCGGUUACCUGAUCCGUCAAGUGCAGUUUUUGCAUUCAGGGAGUGCUUUGCCUGCUAGGAAAUACUGGACAAGCACAAGCGCUCACUGGGGCUGGUAGCUUGGGACCUCAUGGCCUGCGCCUCUCACUGUUACCAAGCUGAGGUCGCCCUUGUACUGCACAACGUAUCCACCCACCUCGCCAUUACCCUGAAUUCACAAGGUUGAACAGAUCUUAAUUGCUAGUCACUUUGAAAACCAGUAAUCAUGGCACGAGUGCUUUACAAUUUUGAAUUCUUCGAGUUUGUUAUCGGUUUAGAUCCACUCUUCUGUAGCAGCUGAAUUAUGAGUGUCCAUCCAUGUUAGCUACAGAUUUUUGUGUUUGCUUGAUGUUGCAGUGAACAGGUUAGCGCAGGGGGAGAACUGCGUGUAGGUAAUCACCUUGGUGCUGCUGAACCAUGGCCUCCAUUUUUCAGCCACAGGUAGCUGGAGCUGAUUGAGAGAGUAUCUAGUCGAAGUCACCGGCACUCUCCCGUCAGUGUCUCCACUGCAAAGCUCGCGGAUAAUGGGCAAAACAGUUGGGGCGCUGUCCACCCAGUACCCAAAUCGCACACUGAAAAUGUGCGAGGUGAUCUUUCUUGUAGUGGCAAAAGAGAAGUCUUCAGAAAUGAGGGUGUAGGGUGGAUGUACCUGCAGGCUGACCAUGGGUGGUUGAGGCGGGUGACGUUAGCGUGGAGCGCCUUCUGCACGUCCGGAUCGUUGAGCAGGUCCGAAGCGUUGCGGCAUCAUGAAGCACAAAGCAAUGUGAAGAAAGAAAGCUGGAAGAGGCUGAGGAAGCUGGUGACGGAAGCUAGAAGAGGAAGGAUGACGCGAUCAAGUGACCUAGUCGUGCCGUUUGACGUUUGGUUCGAAACCGUCAGGAAGCAUCCUGAUUCAAGUUCAUUCUCUAAUCGCAAACCCACCUUAGCUAGUAGUUCAAUGUUUUGUAUGGCCGGUACUAUGGUUUGGAUCCAAAGCAUUUUGUAACAUCCCUGCCAUGGGCACUUACUAGUGCCUCCAUUAUAGCAACCUGCUUGAAUUUUGGUCCUAGCUAAUGUGAUAUCUGUGUGUACUAGCGAUUUCAUUUUUUAAGGGAUGUAUUGUGUACAAGUAAAAUUAUGUGAGUCUUUCAAGAAGUUUCAUGAA